rnacentral:rRNA from 1 species
CGCGGCCUAUCAGCUUGUUGGUGGGGUGAUGGCCUACCAAGGCUUCGACGGGUAGCCGGCCUGAGAGGGCGACCGGCCACACUGGGACUGAGACACGGCCCAGACUCCUACGGGAGGCAGCAGUGGGGAAUAUUGCGCAAUGGGCGGAAGCCUGACGCAGCGACGCCGCGUGAGGGAUGACGGCCUUCGGGUUGUAAACCUCUUUCAGCAGGGACGAAUGUGACGGUACCUGUAGAAGAAGCACCGGCCAACUACGUGCCAGCAGCCGCGGUAAUACGUAGGGUGCGAGCGUUGUCCGGAAUUAUUGGGCGUAAAGAGCUCGUAGGCGGUCUGUCGCGUCGAAUGUGAAAACCCGGGGCUCAACUCCGGGCUUGCAUUCGAUACGGGCAGGCUAGAGUUCGGUAGGGGAGUCUGGAAUUCCUGGUGUAGCGGUGAAAUGCGCAGAUAUCAGGAGGAACACCGGUGGCGAAGGCGGGACUCUGGGCCGAUACUGACGCUGAGGAGCGAAAGCGUGGGGAGCGAACAGGAUUAGAUACCCUGGUAGUCCACGCCGUAAACGUUGGGCGCUAGGUGUGGGGAUCCUUCCACGAUCUCCGUGCCGCAGCUAACGCAUUAAGCGCCCCGCCUGGGGAGUACGGA